UAGUGUGGAAUGAGGAUUUACUGUUAAUCUUUUAAUACCAACACCAUGUUCCAAAGAAACAUUUUUUUCUUGGGGAAGACAGUGAGAAGGGGCAGUUGAAAACAGGAUUCUUGUAAACGGAGUCUGAAAUGACGCAUUUGGCUUGGAGAUUUCAGCAUAAGUUGGACACUGCCAACACCCACAGGAGACAGGCUGAUUGACGCAACUGCAGACAUGAUCUCAGCCAUCAAAGUUCAACACAAAACUGAAAGUAUGACUUCACAUGAAUGCUGUUGGAAUGCUUCGCAGACAUAAAGACCAAAGGACAAUUCCUAUGGCUUAAGUCUAUCCAAUCCGUCCAGAUCAGGAAUGCAGCAGCACAGCCGAGCAGCUCAGACACCAAUUUCCUAAGCUCUUCCUGAGGAGACAUACGCGCCACACAGGAAAGACAAAAGCAGCAGAAUUGACUUCUGCCCUUUAUGUCAUGACUUAAACAAUCUUAAAGUAUUGUAGCUAAACUGAAUCUCUUGUUUCACCUCCUGCGUGUGUUUCAAACUGAAACUCCAGAACAAAGUGUUGGAAAGAAGAUCCAAAUUCCCAGUUCUUGUAUAACUUCCUGAUUUAAAUCCUUUCAUUCAGUUCAGAUUAAAGAUUCAUAGUCACUAUGUUCACUUUUUUUUCCUAAGAUAAGCGAUUGCAUCACUGUUCAUAUAAUGCUGUGAUGCUAGCUGGCUGUUUCUGAGUGUAUUCAGUUUAAUAGUAAGUUCAGUUUUGCUCAUUUCAGGACAAAACUAGGCUCAUAUAAACACUGCAAACAACACAGUUAUCACAUCUUAAUUUUUUCUGUUAUAAAGUUUUUAGCUAGAAAGUAAUGUACUGUAUAUCACAGCUGAGGUAACAAUGCCUCUUUCAGUCACCAAUGACAAAAGCUCCAAUGCUAAAACCCACUGAUGACAGUGACAAUGAUGAUCAGUAUACACUCAGCUAAACACCUCUAAGAUGAUGAAAGGUUUAUGACAAUUUGACCACUUUAUUUUUUUUUGCCUGUGGUAUGUGAUCAUGAUAAAAGCCCACACACUGGCCCUCACCUGAUCCCUGCUUUUUAAAAAUCAUUGAAAAUUACAUCUGAUGACAUUUAUGGUCUCGUUCCAGAAAAAAAAAGUUUUAGUUUCUCAGGAUAAAUGUGCAUUAUGUAAGUGAAAACUUUGCUAUACUACCAACAGCAACAAAAACAUGUAGCAUUUUGUCCUUGAUUAUAUAACGAAGGCAAUAUCGGCAGCGGAAAGGAAUGUGCUCAUCAGAUCAGACUGUUCAGAGAAAAAUUGGUGUGCUUAACACCUUUGUUCUCCAUGACAAAACGUUUGGCUGCAGACGAGGGUUCCCAGCAGACUGUAGUUAUCACAGUGAGUGUGUGUGUCUCCGUGUUGUCCGAGUGAGAGAGUGUGCUCAGCCAUCUGAAAGAUAGACUUGAUAUCACACCACUCUGUCUGUCUGUCACGUAAUUUGCCAUGCAAAGCCCCUCUGACACCACCCACCAACACGCAACAACACAGCUUGGUCUCCUCUCAUACAGCACAUACACACACACACACACAUACACAGAAAGUCACAGCCCAGUCACCUCAUACACAUCCCACCAGUUCUCACCAAUAAGAUGUCAGGGAGUCUCCAGUAACAGGUGUUUAGUGUGUGUGUGUGUGUGUGUGUGUGUACCGCAAAAGCUGUCACUCUUAACAUUGGGAAAAGCUGUUGCUUUGCUCUUUCCACUGGCUUUAAUUUAUUUAUUUCCUUUUAGUUUUCAGUUGUUUUGUUCAAUUUUCAAGGGGUUUGUGGGGUUUUUUUGUCUUUGUUCAUUGCCAUUUUUACCUUCUCCAUCUUCUCGACACCUACUCCUGUCUUCAGUUGUUGCAUUGUUCAUGCACCCCUUUGAAGUUUUCCACCGCCAAAUACCACAUACCGCUCCUUUUUUUUUACAGUGUGUAUACUGUAUGUGUUAAACAUGCCCUUUAGAAUUACUACACCAGUGUGGGUGUGUUUCAGUACCUCAUUUGCACCCUCCCUUGAGCCGCUAUGUAUGCUAGGAUGAAAAGACUCUGUUCAUUGCUGUUGUUGUAAAUAACAAAAGUCUAGUCCUUCUGUAUGACUGUUUUUUUCCCUGUUGGCUGUACAAUGUGGCCUGUUGAA